CUUGUACAGGGGGAUAGCCCAGAGAAAUUUGGAUUAAUACCCCAUAGUGUUAUAGAGUGGCAUCACUUUAUGACUUAAGUUCCAACGGUACCAGAUGAGCAUGCGUCCCAUUAGCUAGUUGGUAUGGUAACGGCAUACCAAGGCAAUGAUGGGUAGGGGUCCUGAGAGGGAGAUCCCCCACACUGGUACUGAGACACGGACCAGACUCCUACGGGAGGCAGCAGUGAGGAAUAUUGGGCAAUGGAGGCAACUCUGACCCAGCCAUGCCGCGUGCAGGAAGACGGUCCUAUGGAUUGUAAACUGCUUUUGUACGGGAAGAAACAUCUCUUCGUGAAGAGACUUGACGGUACCGUAAGAAUAAGGAUCGGCUAACUCCGUGCCAGCAGCCGCGGUAAUACGGAGGAUCCAAGCGUUAUCCGGAAUCAUUGGGUUUAAAGGGUCCGUAGGCGGCCUUAUAAGUCAGUGGUGAAAUCCAGUCGCUUAACGAUUGAACUGCCAUUGAUACUGUAAGGCUUGAAUUAGAGUGAAGUAACUAGAAUAUGUAGUGUAGCGGUGAAAUGCUUAGAUAUUACAUGGAAUACCAAUUGCGAAGGCAGGUUACUAAUUCUAUAUUGACGCUGAUGGACGAAAGCGUGGGGAGCGAACAGGAUUAGAUACCCUGGUAGUCCACGCCGUAAACGAUGGAUACUAGCUGUUCGGAGCAAUCUGAGUGGCUAAGCGAAAGUGAUAAGUAUCCCACCUG
rnacentral:rRNA from 1 species